rnacentral:rRNA from 1 species
GACGAACCGUGCGAACGUUGUUCGGAAUCACUGGGCUUAAAGGGCGCGUAGGCGGCUCGCCAAGUCAGAGGUGAAAUCUUUCGGCUUAACCGGAAAAGUGCCUUUGAUACUGGCGGGCUCGAGGGAGGUAGGGGCAGAUGGAACUUCCGGUGGAGCGGUGAAAUGUGUUGAUAUCGGAAGGAACGCCGGUGGCGAAAGCGAUCUGCUGGAUCUCUACUGACGCUGAGGCGCGAAAGCCAGGGUAGCGAAC